GACGAACGCUGGCGGCGUGCUUAACACAUGCAAGUCGAACGGAAAGGCCCUGCUUUUGUGGGGUGCUCGAGUGGCGAACGGGUGAGUAACACGUGAGUAACCUGCCCUUGACUUUGGGAUAACUUCAGGAAACUGGGGCUAAUACCGGAUAGGAGCUCCUGCUGCAUGGUGGGGGUUGGAAAGUUUCGGCGGUUGGGGAUGGACUCGCGGCUUAUCAGCUUGUUGGUGGGGUAGUGGCUUACCAAGGCUUUGACGGGUAGCCGGCCUGAGAGGGUGACCGGCCACAUUGGGACUAAGAUACGGCGCAGACUCCUACGGGAGGCAGCAGUGGGAAGUAUUGCACAAUGGGCGGAAGCCUGAUACAGCAACGCCGCGUGCGGGAUGACGGCCUUCGGGUUGUAAACCGCUUUCGCAGGUGACGAGGCGUGAGUGACGGUAAUGGGUAAAGAAGCACCGGCUAACUACGUG
rnacentral:rRNA from 1 species